rnacentral:rRNA from 1 species
GACAGAGGCCUCGAGCGUUAGGCGGAAUCACUGGGCUUAAAGCGUGUGUAGGCGGAUCGUUAAGUGCCUUGUGAAAUCCCACGGCUUAACUGUGGAACGGCUGGGCAUACUGGCGGUCUUGAGCCAUCUAGGGGCGACUGGAACAAACGGUGGAGCGGUGAAAUGCGUAGAUACCGGAAGGAACGCCGGUGGCGAAAGCGGCGUGCUGGACCUCUUCUGACGCUGAGGCGCGAAAGCCAGGGGAGCGAACGGG